rnacentral:rRNA from 1 species
GAACCACUUUAUUCUGAUGGGACAUAAAAUAUCUUAUGAUGGUUAUGGCUUUUACUGAUUUUUUGUGCCAGCCAAUAUUAUUAAUCUAUAGUAUAACUACUAACUUAGCUAAAAUAUGGAAGUGGCUAACAAUAGUGCCAGCAGCCGCGGUCAUACUAUGGCUUUGUUUAUGUUUUUAUAAAUCUACAAUUAAUUUCUUUUUACAACGGUAAAAUGUGUAAAUUAUACUUAAAAUUAAGUGUUUUAAAUUAGGACUAAAACUAGGAUUAGAUACCCUAUUAUUCUUAUCUAAAAAGUAUUUAUAAAGCACUAAUACCAUAAGGUAAAAACUUAAAGAAUAUGGCGGCUAAAUUUAACUUCAGGGGAACUUACCAAAUAAUAGAUAACCACCAAGAAACCUUUCUUAUUUUUAUAGUUUGUAUACCGUCAUCAUCAGAAUAUUCAUGAAGUAUAUUCAAGUUGUUUUAACAAAAUGAUAGAUCAUGGUGCAGCUAAUAAAUAAGUUACUGGCGAGUUACAAUAACUAAGAUUUCAAAAACUGAAUUAAUAUAAGUUGAAGUUGGACUUGAAAGUAAUUAAAAUUUCAUUUAAAUUUUGAAUUUUUAAAAUUUAGUGUACAAAUCGCCCGUCACUCUCUUUGAUUAAAUGAGAUAAGUCGUAACAUAGUAGAGGUAGCUGAAGCUGUCUCUGUUUUAAU